rnacentral:rRNA from 1 species
ACGAUGAACCACUUCGGUGGGGAUUAGUGGCGAACGGGUGAGUAACACGUGGGCAAUCUGCCCUGCACUCUGGGACAAGCCCUGGAAACGGGGUCUAAUACCGGAUAUUGACCUUCACGGGCAUCUGUGAGGUUCGAAAGCUCCGGCGGUGCAGGAUGAGCCCGCGGCCUAUCAGCUUGUUGGUGAGGUAAUGGCUCACCAAGGCGACGACGGGUAGCCGGCCUGAGAGGGCGACCGGCCACACUGGGACUGAGACACGGCCCAAACUCCUACGGGAGGCAGCAGUGGGGAAUAUUGCACAAUGGGCGAAAGCCUGAUGCAGCGACGCCGCGUGAGGGAUGACGGCCUUCGGGUUGUAAACCUCUUUCAGCAGGGAAGAAGCGAAAGUGACGGUACCUGCAGAAGAAGCGCCGGCUAACUACGUGCCAGCAGCCGCGGUAAUACGUAGGGCGCAAGCGUUGUCCGGAAUUAUUGGGCGUAAAGAGCUCGUAGGCGGCUUGUCACGUCGGUUGUGAAAGCCCGGGGCUUAACCCCGGGUCUGCAGUCGAUACGGGCAGGCUAGAGUUCGGUAGGGGAGAUCGGAAUUCCUGGUGUAGCGGUGAAAUGCGCAGAUAUCAGGAGGAACACCGGUGGCGAAGGCGGAUCUCUGGGCCGAUACUGACGCUGAGGAGCGAAAGCGUGGGGAGCGAACAGGAUUAGAUACCCUGGUAGUCCACGCCGUAAACGGUGGGCACUAGGUGUGGGCAACAUUCCACGUUGUCCGUGCCGCAGCUAACGCAUUAAGUGCCCCGCCUGGGGAGUACGGCCGCAAGGCUAAAACUCAAAGGAAUUGACGGGGGCCCGCACAAGCGGCGGGAGCAUGUGGCUUAAUUCGACGCAACGCGAAGAACCUUACCAAGGCUUGACAUACACCGGAAACGGCCAGAGAUGGUCGCCCCCUUGUGGUCGGUGUACAGGUGGUGCAUGGCUGUCGUCAGCUCGUGUCGUGAGAUGUUGGGUUAAGUCCCGCAACGAGCGCAACCCUUGUCCCGUGUUGCCAGCAAGCUCCUUCGGGGGUGUUGGGGACUCACGGGAGACCGCCGGGGUCAACUCGGAGGAAGGUGGGGACGACGUCAAGUCAUCAUGCCCCUUAUGUCUUGGGCUGCACACGUGCUACAAUGGCCGGUACAAUGAGCUGCGAUACCGCAAGGUGGAGCGAAUCUCAAAAAGCCGGUCUCAGUUCGGAUUGGGGUCUGCAACUCGACCCCAUGAAGUCGGAGUCGCUAGUAAUCGCAGAUCAGCAUUGCUGCGGUGAAUACGUUCCCGGGCCUUGUACACACCGCCCGUCACGUCACGAAAGUCGGUAACACCCGAAGCCGGUGGCCCAACCCCUUGUGG